rnacentral:rRNA from 1 species
GAUGAACGCUGGCGGCGUGCCUAAUACAUGCAAGUAGAACGCUGAAGCUUGGUGCUUGCACCGAGCGGAUGAGUUGCGAACGGGUGAGUAACGCGUAGGUAACCUGCCUCUUAGCGGGGGAUAACUAUUGGAAACGAUAGCUAAUACCGCAUAAAAGUCGAUAUCGCAUGAAUUGAUUGAAAGGUGCAAUGCAUCACUAAGAGAUGGACCUGCGUUGUAUUAGCUAGUUGGUGAGGUAACGGCUCACCAAGGCGACGAUACAUAGCCGACCUGAGAGGGUGAUCGGCCACACUGGGACUGAGACACGGCCCAGACUCCUACGGGAGCAGCAGUAGGGAAUCUUCGGCAAUGGGGGCAACCCUGACCGAGCAACGCCGCGUGAGUGAAGAAGGUUUUCGGAUCGUAAAGCUCUGUUGUAAGAGAAGAACGAGUGUGAGAGUGGAAAGUUCACACUGUGACGGUAACUUACCAGAAAGGGCGGCUA